UACGGAGGGGGCUAGCGUUGUUCGGAAUUACUGGGCGUAAAGCGCACGUAGGCGGCUUUGUAAGUUAGAGGUGAAAGCCCGGGGCUCAACUCCGGAAUUGCCUUUAAGACUGCAUCGCUAGAAUUGUGGAGAGGUAAGUGGAAUUCCGAGUGUAGAGGUGAAAUUCGUAGAUAUCGAGAGGAACACCGGUGGCGAAGGCGGCCUUCUGGACAGUGACUGACGCUGAGACGCGAAAGCGUGGGGAGCAAACAGG
rnacentral:rRNA from 1 species